CCUACGGGAGGCAGCAGUGAGGAAUAUUGGUCAAUGGACGAGAGUCUGAACCAGCCAAGUAGCGUGAAGGAUGAGUGCCCUAUGGGUUGUAAACUUCUUUUAUAUGGGAAUAAAACGUUCCACGUGUGGGAUUUUGUAUGUACCAUAUGAAUAAGGAUCGGCUAACUCCGUGCCAGCAGCCGCGGUAAUACGGAGGAUCCGAGCGUUAUCCGGAUUUAUUGGGUUUAAAGGGAGCGUAGGUGGAUUGUUAAGUCAGUUGUGAAAGUUUGCGGCUCAACCGUAAAAUUGCAGUUGAAACUGGCAGUCUUGAGUACAGUAGAGGUGGGCGGAAUUCGUGGUGUAGCGGUGAAAUGCUUAGAUAUCACGAAGAACUCCGAUUGCGAAGGCAGUUCACUGGACUGCAACUGACACUGAGGCUCGAAAGUGUGGGUAUCAAACAGGAUUAGAUACCCCAGUAGUC
rnacentral:rRNA from 1 species